rnacentral:rRNA from 1 species
AGUGAACGCUGGCGGUAGGCCUAACACAUGCAAGUCGAACGGCAGCACAGUAAGAGCUUGCUCUUACGGGUGGCGAGUGGCGGACGGGUGAGGAAUACAUCGGAAUCUACUUUUUCGUGGGGGAUAACGUAGGGAAACUUACGCUAAUACCGCAUACGACCUACGGGUGAAAGCAGGGGAUCUUCGGACCUUGCGCGAUUGAAUGAGCCGAUGUCGGAUUAGCUAGUUGGCGGGGUAAAGGCCCACCAAGGCGACGAUCCGUAGCUGGUCUGAGAGGAUGAUCAGCCACACUGGAACUGAGACACGGUCCAGACUCCUACGGGAGGCAGCAGUGGGGAAUAUUGGACAAUGGGCGCAAGCCUGAUCCAGCCAUACCGCGUGGGUGAAGAAGGCCUUCGGGUUGUAAAGCCCUUUUGUUGGGAAAGAAAAGCAGCAGGUUAAUACCCCGCUGUUCUGACGGUACCCAAAGAACAAGCACCGGCUAACCUCGUG